rnacentral:lncRNA from 1 species
CGGCUCGCCGUCUCAGUCCCGUGAUCUCGUUCCUGACCUUUUCGAUGUUCAGUAGGCUGGUCCCUGGAGCUAAGGCUGGGGAAAAAGCAAACGAUUUAUGAGACGAAUGUAAUAAGCUUAGAUGAAGUCAAUGUGAGACCAGGCUAUCAAAGAAAACUAGUGUCUGUUUUGAGCGAGAAGGCGUAAAACUGGGCAACCUUGAAGCCGCUAGAAACUGAACAAAGACUGGGUUGGCCGAAAUACAGCUCUGAAGCCUCAUAAAAUUCAAAAAAGAAUUACUCCUCUUACGCGGAUACAGUCAGUUUUUUCCACCGAAGGAAUUGCUGCGGCACAUUACUGUUCCUUGUGUUGAGAAUAUGCUGUAAGAGCUGUGUCGAGAUACCAGUUUUUAUAUUCUUGUACCUUCGACUGCUGCAGAACUCCCCAAGCAAGAAGUUCUUCCACAGUGUCCCCAAAUUGUGGAAGAGGCUCGCUCGCUUCUGAGGAAACGUUAGGGAACAAGAAAUGGGAUGGCGAAUCUGGACUCAAAAGUCUUGCUGUCCCAGAUCCAGCAGGGCACUACAUUCAUUACUGGAGUAGAGAAGCACAGCAAUUAUUUGUUGUACAGAAAGGCUGUCGGUGUCAUCCAUUUUGCUUAAGUAAUCCCCAUUACAAGUGUUUAUUUCUUGUACUUACCCUCAAGUAUGUACAAAUGCAAAUAUCUACCCUGUAUUACAAUAAUCUUUCCACUUUCUACAAACUCUUACAAAUUAUUUGAUUGCCAUUUCAAAUAAGAAACCCAUAGUUUCAGCAAAGGAUAAAAAUUAGUAAUAUUAAAACUAUUCCUUAUAAUCCUUGGGGUUUUCUUCUUCACAAUCUACUGUAUGUCAAUGGGCCCACCAAGUUACCAGUCCCAGUUAAAAUUCUCUUCCUCACCAAGGUUUAUAAACACCCCAAUUCAUGUCUUCCUUAGAUUGGUACUGAAAGGACCUGGUUUUCUACACCCCUCUGGAUUAUGCAUAUAACCAAAACUCUGGGCAAAAUUACCACGUGCCAAUAGCUAGGGCGUGGGGGUUUUUUAAGUACAUUGUCCAUAAUCUGAAUUUGUUAGUUGUAUGUGCUCUCUUAUGUUUUCUCCACUUAGCCAACUCUAGAUUGUAAAUUUCCCAAGCGCAGAGAUGAUGUGGAUUUCUUACCAAUCCCCUAGCACUGCUAAAGACAGUAUUAACCAAUACAUCAAUUAAUUACAUUGGGUGACAGAUCUAAGAAGCUUAUGACCCUGUCCAAAAAGAGCCAUGAGGCCAGGCGCAGUGGCUCACGCCUGUAAUCCCAGUACUUUGGGAGGCCGAGGCGGGCGGAUCAUGAGGUCAGGAGAUCCAGACCAUCUUGGCUAAAGCCGUGAAACCCUGUCUCUACUAAAAAUACAAAAAAUAAGGCGGGCGUGGUGGCGGGCGCCUGUAGUCCCAGCUACUCAGGAGGUUGAGGCAGGAGAAUGGCGUGAACCCAGAAGGUGGAGCUUGCAGUGAGCCAAGAUCGCUCCACUGCACUCCAGCCUGGGCGACAGAGUGAGACUUCAUAUCAAAAAAAAAAAAAAAGCCAUGAAUUCACAUUAAAUAGAUCCUAAAGUAGACAUAGAUUCUUGUAUGCAUGUUAUUCAGUACAAUUUCCCCCUUUACUGGAUCAUUCCAUCUAUUAACACAUUCCCAAAUUAAAAACAAACGAACAAACUCCUUUGAUUACCGUUACCAUCCUAUAGAUUUCUUUAUACUUGUCUCUCCUUCUCCUCCUCCUAAUCUUUUUUUGAUCCCAUUUUGGGCAGGCUUUUACUGCUCUUGUUUAGAAUCACCAAUAGCUUCCAGGUUGCUAAAUAAACUGUCAAUCUCAAUUUUCACCUUCUCCAUCUAUUAGCAGCAUUUAACAUAGUUAAUCCGUCCCUCACCAUAUACUUUUACUUUUUAAUUUGGAGGUAAACCAUACAUGUAAGAAAGAAUAUGAUAGUUUGAAGCAUGGUCUUAAAGUGGCUUCCAUAGUACUCCUUCGGUGGUUCUCCUAUUUUAGUGGCUGCUCCUUUUACUUUCCUUUCCUGGAUCCUUAUCCUCUUAAACCUCUAAAAUUUCAGUUUCUCACCUUUUUUCUACAUUCAUCCAUUUUGUGAUUUCAUCUAACAUUGAACUACUACUCCCACUUCCUGUAGAUUGUAUGAAGAAAGAAUUGUUUUAGGAAAGAAAAACUAUUCAUGUGCUGACAACUCUCACUUAUCUCUCGCCUGGCCUUUCCCAUUAACUUGAGACAUCUCCACCUAGAUGGCUAAUGCGCAUCUCAAACUUACAAACAAAACUGAAUUCUACUUUCCACUCCUUAUUCCCCAACUUUCUCCUCUGCAAUUUUCCUUAUUUCAAGCCUUAAACUUUGUUUUCUAUCAUACUCUAUAAACCAAUUUAUUAAAAAUUUCUAUUGGCUGCACCUUCAAAAUAUAAUCUGAAUUGAACCACUUCUCAUUAUCUCCAACAGUACUACUACUGUUGGCCAAGCCAUCAUCAUCUCUUGUUCAGAUUAUGUCAAAAGCCUUUUUAACGGGUUUCCCUGUUUCCACUCUUCCACUAUCUUCCACACAGCAAUGAUUCUUUUAAGAACUUAAGCUGGAUCAUAUGACUCUGCUCUAAACUCGGUUGUGUUUACUCAUGUAUCCCUGGCAUCUAGAAUAGUAAUUGGCACAUAGAAAAUGCUCAAUAUACAUUGGUUAAAUGAAUGAACUGUAUCCUGCACAAAAGAAUGGACUAUUGAGUAUAAAAAUUCAAAACAUCUGUCUUAGUACUUGUGCUCCCUCCAAAUGUUUUCAGUCCCAGGGUUCCUCAUUCAUUAUCUUCUUGCUCCUUUUCUGUAAGUUGUGAUUAUCCUGACAUACAAAUGACUGAAAUUUGCCUGCGUACCUAACAAACUUUAUUGCAUCUUCCCAGGCACACCAGAAACAUUACCACAUUUUAAAAUUCAUCCUCUGAACCAGAAGUUACUUUCAAAGUAGAAUGCUUUCCAAAACAUCAGUUUGGGGUUCUUUUAUCCUUGCUCUUUUGUAAUGUUAGAAAAUUAGAAAAUGGUUCUUUCGGAAAAUACUUACUCCGGAGGGUUUUGUAACAGUAUAACAAAAUUGGCAGGGGGAAUAUGUGGGAAAUAUCUGGGAAACCUGAGGUAGGUAAUGGUUUAAGUCUCGUCAGUAAGAUGGACAUCAGAUGCGAAAGUACUAAGUGAAAAUAUCUCAUAAUUACUGAUGCAAAGUUACCAGAGGACAGUUACCCAAUCUUUUUUUUCCUUUUUUUCCUUGUCUGCUUUUUAGCAGACAAGAUAACCCUGACUUUGAUCCUGCCUAUAGAAUCGAUAAGUAACAAAAACAGAGGGAAGCCAGAAUAGUUUUGUGUGAUUUGGUUGUGUGUGUGUGCGUACACACAUCUGUUAAUUCUAGAGCCAUGCUUAACCAACUUCCAAUUUUAUAAAAAUAUAGAACAGUUUCAUGUGAACUUUAAUGUUACAAACUACUGGUUAGGUAAAAGAUAACAUUUCAAUAUAAUUCCAUACUUUAUCAUAUUCUGAGUCACUUUUGGACAUCAGGAAACAGUUGCUAUCUUAGUUGCUGUAUUAGUUUAUUAUUAAAUACUUUAAUUGCAAGCCUCAGUCUUUUCAUCAUUAAACUUUAGUUAGACUAACUCCUAAUGAUCUUUUUCUCUGACUCUAAAGUCCUUAUGAUAAACAAUUUCAUAAAACAUAUGAAUGAGGACUAAUCUCUGAUUUUUUUUUUUAUCUUGCCCAAAUUCAUAUCUAAAGGGUCUGGGGAGUCCUGCCCUACAAACCACAAAUUCUCAUCAGAUGGGUUUUAUUUAACCCUGUAUAUUAUGACUUACUUUCCCAUGUGACUCUGGCAUAAGGAGGAAGAAAAUCAAAAUGUUUUACCCCAAAACAUGUCUCUCUGCCAUAUCUUGAAAUUGCCCUACAAAGUUUCUUGUGGGAAAAAUCCGCAUUCUAUAGAGAAUCUCCUUUCCCCUUUCCAGAUCCAGGAGAUAAUCAACUAAGAGCCAGGCACUCUUUUAAGUCUGAUAAGACACAUUUUAUAACCUGCUCUCUCUGCAGUCCGCUGAGAGUUUCCUCCGCACAAUAAAACUUAGUCUCCACAUCCUUUAUCUUAACCUAAACAUUUCUUUUCUAUUGAUCCCAGAUCUUCAGAUAAACUCAAUCAGUUGUCAACCAGAAAAUGUUUAAAUUUACCUAUAGCCUGGAAGUCCCCCGCUUUGAGUUGUCCCGCCUUUCUGAACCAAACCAAUGUAUUUCUUAAAUGUAUUUGAUUGAUGUCUCAUGCCUCCCAAAAAUAUAUAAAACCAAGCUGUAUCCCAACCACCUUGGGCACAUGUUCCCAGGAUCUCCUGAGGGCUGUGUCACUCAUAUUUGGCUCAGAAUAAAUCUCUUAAAAUAUUUUAUAGAGUUUGACUCUUUUCAUCAACAUGAACAUGAGUCAUUCCCCAUUGAACAAUAAUUACCGGUUACCUACUAUGAAUGUAACACUUUGUAAUACACGCAAGGGAAUAUUGUUUUAAAGUCUCUGACCUUCUGGAGAAUAUAAUCUAAUUAGGAAUAUCAUACAUAACAGUAAAUUUGAUGCAGACAUAAAUGACUCUCCAGAUGACUGGUACAACAAAAGUUGUAUGGGAAAUUCAAAGAAACUAGUGGGCUAAGGUUGUAAAAAGACAGAAUUUUGGGCCGGGCACGGAUUAUAGCCUCACCCCUGUAAUCCCAGCACUUUGGGAGGCCGAGGCGGGCAGAUCACGAGGUCAAGAGAUCGAGACCAUCCUGGCCAACAUGGUGAAACCCCAUCUCUACUAAAAAUACAAAAAUUAGCCUGUAGUCCCAGCUACUCGGGAGGCUGAGGCAGGAGGAUCGCUUGAACCUGGGAGGCGGAGGUUGCAGUGAGCCAAGAUCACGCCACUGCACUCUGGCCUGGUGACAGAGUGAGACUCCGUCUCAAAAAACAAAAGACAAUUUUGGCAAGGUCUGGUAGAAUAAAUGGAGCAGAAAUUAAGUCAUUCCAGAUGUAGGACAAGAACAUGAUUAACAAUCUGAAUUUGGAAUCAAGCGUUGAUGUGCUGCAGAACUGCAAAAACAGAGGCCUAGAUGGAGUGAAAAGAGAAAAAAAAUAUAUUGUUGUUAAGAACUUGGAAGUCAGACAGAUCCUGAAUCUGCCAUUUAGUGGUAGUGACAUGACUGAACGUAAGAUACAUAAUCUAUUUAUACCUCAGUUUCUCUUGUCUUUAAAAUGGAGAUAACAGUAUUCAUCAUCAUUGGGUGGCUGUUAAAAUAACUCAAUAAAUAUUUACUAUUAUGGGAAGAAAGGUUGGGUAAGAAGAAAAAUCUAGGCAAAAGCUAUAACAUUUGCAAAGGCAAAGAAGACAGGGUGGCCAAAUGUCUUGGGGAAUUGCAAAUGGUUUGAUUUGCAGAACAAAUGAAGAAUGAGGUAACAGUGGAAGGCUGAUUUCAGUGAUGAAUUAAACAACUUGAAGGGCUACUUAGAGGUUCAAGUAGCAAACUGUUAAAAUCGGAGCCCUAUUUCAAGAUCGUUCUAGUAAUAAAAGGCUGGAUUGGGCAUGAGUUAUUAGGGUCAGAGAGUCUGUCAGAAAGCUCUCAUAGUAAUCCAAGGAGGAAGAAAAACCUAAACUAAAUCAUCAAGAGAGAUGUAGAUAAGGGGAGGGAUGAGAGACCCAACUAAAAGGAAGAACAUUCAAAAAUCAACACAAUACAGUGAUUAGGUUGGGCAGCUGGAGAAGAGAGCUAGGGUUUCUGGCUUACCUCAAGGUGGUUGGCUAUACCAUUCACAGUAAUGAGGAAUGUAAGAAAUCUCAGGUUGGUGUGAGAUUAUUCCUGUUUUGACCUUAUUAAACCCAGGCUUGUGUGGAAUGAUUGCUGCUUGGGCCUUACUAACUUAGGUUAAUUCAUUAUUAACCUUCAUUUCUCAAGAGAUUAAUAAUGAAAAAUCUAGAGCUCAAGACAGAUGUCAAGGCACAAGAAAAGAUAGAGAAGUCAGUCAGUGUUAAGACAAUGGAAUAAUAAGGUACUUAAGAUUGUUCAGGCAGAAUGUGUAACUUAAAGGCACAGAACAUAAUCUCAAAGAACUCCCAACAUUAAGGAAUAUACAAAGGAGACUAAGGAACAGAUAAGGGGAAAAAAAUCAGGAGUCAUUCACAGAAGCCACAUGCUAAAGAUGAAGUGGGAAGGAAAAUGCCUAUCAAAUGGAGCAAAAAGAUCAAUAUAAGGGUGAGUUCACUUGAUCUGACAGAAAAGAAUGGGAAUUGUUCAUUGAAUAUCUAUUUUUCUAUGCUUUGUGCUAAAUGCUUUUUAACUGUCACUUUCCUUAUUGCUCAAAACAAAAUCUGUCAAAUGGGUAUUGAAAUCCCUAUUUUACAGACAAGGAAAGGUAAAUGGCUUAGAAGAUUUAAGCAAUUGCAAGGUACAGCUUGUAAGUAUAGGAGCCGUAUCAGCCUACUCCUGAAACCCAUACUCUUUCUACUGAAUCUUUCAGACACAGGUGACAGUCAACAGAGUACAAACGAUGUAAUCUUGAGGUGAAAACCUGACCCUGACUGAAGCUGAAGAUGAUAAGAAAAUAUAAAGGACAUACUGUUUCACAAAAUUUGUUGUGAAAAGGAAAGACAACAUGCCCUGGGGUUAUUUUACACCACUGAUACAGCAAUUUGACAAAAAUUUAUAAAGCUAUUGUCUGCAAUUCUGUGCUUGAAACAAAGUGACAUAACAAGCUUGAAAGGGAUGUAAGGGGAGUUCAAUCUUUUUCCACAUUACCCUGGAUAGAAAAGCUUGUGAUAUACAAACAGACAAGCUCCUAUUAAUACCACUUAAAGUACAUAACAAGUUUAUCUUUUAAGAUUUUUUUAAAAACAUUAUAAAAUCACCAAAAGGUGAAGGGUAUAUUUGCUUCAAGGUGUUUCUGAUUUAAGAUAGUGGAUUGGCCCCAUGAGUUUGUCUCUCCUCCAUCCCACUAUAGUAAAAUGAAAGAAAUUUUUAAAAUAUGAGAAAAAUUAUUGAUAAGACUCAUCAUCUUAGAUGAAUCUCAGGGGCAUUAUGCUAAAGAAAAGAAGGCGUUUCAAAAGUUACAUAUGGCAUUUAUUCUAUUUAGAACUUUCUAGAAGAUAAAACUAUGGGGAUAGAAAACAAAUUGUGGAUUAUGAGUGGGGGGAAGGGAGAAUGACUACAAAGGGAUAGUAUAAGGAGUUAUUUGGGGAGUGAUGGUACUUUUCUUUAUCUCUGGUGUUAAAACUCACAAAACUAUGCUACCAGAACAGAAGUAAAAUUUACCAUAUGAUAAUCUGAAAAACAAUUUUAAAAAAGAUAUGAGCCCAAAAUUUGAAUAGAGAGGAGGCAGCAACAGACAAAUGAUUUCAACAAAUUUGUGGAAAACUGAAAGCAGAUGGAAUAUGACUGAGCUGAACAGAGAAAGCUGCAAUCUAGAGGGACUACAAGGCGGAUACCAGAGGGAAGCAUGCUGAUUGAUUCCACAACCCCUGAGAAGCUCAGAUUUGGAGGUGAAAGUUACAGCAAAGAGUGGAGGCAGGGACAGGCCUGAAAAUGACUAGUUGAAAGCAUAUACAACAGAAUGGCCUGAUCCCCAAAGUCCUCUGCCCUACCCCUUAGCCAUAAAAAUAUGAUCUCUCACUUCCAUCACUGUCUCUCACAGGUAGAACACCAGAGAAUUUUUAUCUGGAGAAAUAAAUGGGAGACAAUUAAGUGGAAGAAAUAUGGGGAGGGACAGAUACAAGGAAGUAUGUGUGAAGUGGAAAUCAGGAGGUGAGAUGGAGGACAAGGAAGAAGCACAGUUAAAAGCAGUAAGUAAGAGAACCUCCCUAGACCCCUUGAAGCACUGCCCACAAACACAGAGCUUUCAAAUAGUGUUUUGGAGUCUACUCAUAUAUUGCCAAGACUAGCCAGAAAUAACAGGAAAUUCGCCUAUAUGAACAAGAGAAAAAACAAAUUACAAAUAGCAACAAAUAAACUUUGGUGUUAAUAGAGCAGUAAACAAAAGUAGUAAUAUAUAUUCAUAUAUAUAUAUCCUCAGAAAAAUAAGAUAUCUAUAAACUAAGUAGGAUAUUUUGGAAACAAAAUAAAAUGAAAGAAGUUCUAGAAAUUAGAAUAUUUUUAGAAAUGUGCUACAAAUUCAAUACAAGGAAGAUAAUGUUGCAAGAAAGUUAUGUAAAUGUUUUAAAUAAGGCAAUUAUUAAUUCCAGGAAAAAUAAAAUUAUGCAAAAGAAAAUCAUAUUACAUUUGCCCUAGGGUAUAAAAUAUUUAUACAGUCAUACUUAAAUAACAGCUAAUGCAUUUACUAAAUAUUAUGAUAUAACUACAUAAUAGAAGGCAAAGUAUGUGUGUUAGAGAGCUAAAUCAUGUAACAUCAUGUAACAAUAAUGUCUAAAAUUGUUAUAUCAAGCAACAGAAUAGCCAUACUAUUUAGAUACACUAAGGUAAAAGAAGAAACAACUUUUGGAGUCACAGUGAUUGCCUCUGGGAGGGAAGGAAAGUUCAGGCAGGGACUACUAUUUUUUAUCAUAAAGCCUUUAGAACUUACUAUUUUAUUUUUUAAAACUGUGUACAUGUUACUUUGAUAAAUUUUAUAGAUAUACAAAAGGAAAUAAGGCCACCACGGUCU